GGUUGUCAUGUAGGAAUCGAGGAGUCGAAGGGAGUCGACUUGAGCGUCGAGAAUAUUUUAAACGUUGCACGACACUGAGGUGAGUUACCUUCUAGUAGGGGUGGGUCUAAGGCGACAAUGCCGACCCACCAAAAAGGGGUAUUUAGAAGAUGAUUGUCUUUGUGAUAAUUAUCUUGGUCUGGUUAUGUGUUUNGACAUGUUAUGUGUGUAGUAGGGAUUAUCUUCCUUGAUUGUGGUCCUUAGGACCUAGGGGUAGGUCAGUACCCGGAUAUGACUGAUUGUAUGCUUAUAUUUGUUGUUGCAUGCUAGUGGUCGGGUGAAAUAGUCCCCAGUUACCGGUUGAAAGAUACCGAUGGCAGUUACCGGUUGAAAGAUACCGAUGAUGGUUACCGGUUGAAAGAUACCGAUGAAGGUUACCGGUUGAAAGAUACCGACGAUAUUGUAUGGUAUGUGGUAUGAUGGGGGAACUCACUAAGCUUUGAGCUUACAGUUUUAGUUUUGGUUUUAGGUACCUCUUCGUUGAAGGGGAAGGAGCCGGCGGUGUAGUAGCGCAUCACACACACAUGGUUUCCGCAUUGAGUUUCUGGGAUUAUAGUAUGAUUUUCAUUACUUUUGAUGUCACGGUUUGAGACACAACAUUAUGAUUUUGUAAGGUGUUGGUUUAUCGACAAUGUUUUGGUAAAAUGUUUAUUAAACAUAUUAAUUCAAAAAAGAAAUUUUCGGGCUUGAAUUUUGGGAUGUUACAAGUUGGUAUCAGAGCCCUGGUUUGAGGGAUUCGGACACACCCUCGGGGGUCAAACCGAGGGACUAAAAGAUUUUUACAAGGAAAAUGGUUUUCUAAAAUCUAAAUUGAGAAAUUUUUAGAAAGACGAAGUGUGUGAUGCUUGCGACCAGCCGGGCUCGAGUAAGUUUUCCCCAAGAUACCCAUACUUGCUAUGUUAUGUUAUAUGGUUUUGAUUCAGAGAACUGCAUGCUAGAAUAGGACUAAGGAUCUAGGAGGAUGCCUUGUGUGCCUGAUAUAUGAUUCUAAAAAUUGCAUGCUAGUUAGGGCUAAGGGUCUAGGAAGGAUGCCUUAUAUGCCUGUUGUAUGAGCUGUAUGCUAGGACUGAUUAGUCAGCAGUAGGAUGGCCUGUGUAGGUUAUGCCUGGUCUGGUUACUCAAUGCACGAAUGCUGUUUGCUUUGUGCUAUGGGGGUUCUGGCCAAUUUCAACUAACCAAGGAACGAAUAUGUAAUAUCUGCAAGCUAGUUAGGGGGAGAUGGUGGGGACUCCUAGUGCAGUUGAUGGUGGAGAGUAGAUCGGAGAGUGCCCUAGGGAAGCCUAGGAUGAGGUCAGUGGAAAGGGUAUCGGAAAAAGGGACUUGGCGAAGUCGAAGCAAUCCUUGAGGAAAGUACGGAUAAAUGUGGAAGGUAGUAUGGGCCCGUACUACUAAAAGCAGAGGAUCCGUACUCGAGUCAAGGAGGGCCUAGAUGGAACCAGAAAACUUGGAAAGUGUAUGUGACUCUGACAAUAGUAUGUUUAUUUUAAGAAUGGUGGUCACGCGACAUGGAGCCGGAGGUUCAGGAUCUAGGUCAGGAUCAGCCUCGGGUGCAGGAUCCGAGCAUGUGGAUGAUGGAUUACGCGAGUUCAUCGCGUCCGAGAUCACGAGAGGUAUCAUUGAUGCGACACCGGUUAUCUUCGGGUCGACCAAGGAGGGGAUCAUUGAGCUGAUGGAGGAUCACCUCCAAUCGUUCAAGAGUGAUCUGGCAUCUGGCCAGACGAGCACGCGCACACUGUCCUUUAAGGACUUCAGAGGGAGUGGUGCGUUGGAUUUCCAUGGGGUGAAGGACCACAUAGUCGCUAGGAGAUGGAUCGUAGACAUCGAGUGUACGCAGCUGACUAGCUUCUACCCGGAAGGGUCGAAGGUCCGUUUCGUUGCAGGAUGUUUGAGGGACCGAGCCAAAGAUUGGUGGGAGUUGAUUGGUGACAUGUUGGGAGCCCCAGCCAUUGAGGCUAUGACGUGGUCAGAUUUUGUGGCCAGAUUCAGGGCCGAGUUCACACCAGCUGUGGAGCUUCAGCAGCUGGUCAGGGAGUUCUUGGAUAUGAGACAGACUACGGAGACUGUGACUGAGAUCACCGCCAAGUUCCGGGAGAGGGAUUUGUUGGUGCCCCGGUAUGCGGGUGAUGAGGACAUGAAGGCGACCCGCUACCAUGACAUGCUACGAGCUGACAUCCGGGAGCAUGUUAGUUUUUCAACUUACCCUACCCUAGAUUUCAUGAUUGUCAGGGCUAGGGAGAGGGAGAUAGAUCUGGAGCACAUCCGGAAGAGGAAGGCAGAGGAGGGGCAGACGACGGGGGCUUUGGGGAAUAAUCCCAAGGGAUCCGAUGGUAGGCCGAAAGACCAUUCAGGAUGGGACCGUUGUGGGAAAUGCGGUCGGUCACAUGAGGGGGCUUGUCGCACUGGGCCGGGAUCAGGCUGCUAUAAGUGUGGCAAGGAUGGGCAUUUUGGCAGAGAUUGUACAGCCCCUACUCCUGCGAUUCAGACAUCAGACCUGAUUUGCUUUCAUUACAAUCAGAGGGGCCAUAAAAAGGCCAAUUGCCCUAGAUUGACAGUAGCAGCGGUGCCGACAGUGGCUCCGACUCCAACGACAACACGGGUUGUGGAUGGCCGGAAGGUCAAGUCGGAGGCUCCAGUGGUUUGGAGCCGAACAUUUCCGCUGACAGCCGAGGAGGCACGCGUUGCACCCGAUGUGGUGACGGGUAUGAUUUCUUAUUUAUGCUUUUAUGUUAUGUCACUGCGAUUCUGAUAUAUUAUGUGCCUUGCUUAGGAUCGUUCCAUGUGAACGGUAUCCCAGUUCAGGUGUUGUUUGAUUCGGGUGCCACCCGAUCAUUUUUCUCUCUUGCUCUUAGCAAGAAGUUUCCUGAGUCUUCAGGCAUGUUGGAUUUGCCUCUAGAGGUCGAGAUUGCGGACGACCAGUCUGUACGAGCAUCAGAGGUCUACCAGGAUUGUGUUUUGCGGCUGUUCGGGGAACGUUACCUGGUGGACUUGGUUCCCAUACCUUUGCGGGGGAACAAAGCUAUUAUUGGUAUGGAUUGGUUGAGCCCCAAUGGGGCAGUGAUCGACUGCGCGCAACAGUCAGUGUGGAUCAGGACCCAUAGUGGGGGAGAGCUGGUGGUUCAGGGCGAAAGGCCACAACAAGGACUAGCCUUAUGUUCGGUAGCGAGGGCUAGGCGCUAGAUCCAGUAGGGUUGCGCAGGUUAUGUCGCCUAUCUUAUGGAUACCCGGGAGGCGGGAAAGGUGACAGUGGGCGAUGUGCCCGUGGUGCGAUAGUUUACAGACGUAUUCCCUGAGGAGUUGCCUGGGAUACCUCCGGAAGGACAGGUGGAGUUCAGGAUCGACCUAGUCCCUGGUGCGGCUCUGAUAGCCAAGGCUCCGUAUCGGUUGGCUCCUCCUGAGAUGUGGGAGCUGUCUACAAAACUGCAGGAGCUGUUAGACAAGGGGUUCAUUAGACCGAGUAGUUCACCCUGAGGAGCCUCGAUUCUGUUUGUGAAGAAGAAGGACGGGUCAUAUUGGAUGUGUAUAGAUUAUCGGGAACUGAAUAAGGUGACAGUGAAGAAUCGUUACCCACUCCUGCGGAUCGAUGAUCUCUUUGACCAGCUACAGGGAGCAUCUUGGUUCUCCAAGAUUGAUCUGCAUUCAGGAUACCACCAGAUGAGGGUCAGAGAGGAGGAUGUGCAGAAGACUACCUUUCGGACACGUUAUGGUCACUAUGAGUUUGUGGUGACGCCUUUCAGGCUCACCAAUGCUCCUGUCGCAUUCAUGGAUCUCAUGAACCAUGUGUGCAGACCAAUGCUGGAUCGAUAUGUGAUAGUUUUCAUCGAUGACAUCUUGGUCUAUUCCAAGACAUGAGAGCAUCAUGAGGAGCACUUACGGGAGGUUUUGAGUACUUUGAGGAGAGAGAGCUUAUAUGCUAAGUUCUCCAAGUGUGAGUUAUGGUUGCACGAGGUGCAGUUUCUUGGGCACCUUGUCAACCAGAACGAGAUUUUGGUAGAUCCGUCCAAGGUAGAGGCCGUGAUGAGGUGGGAGGUCUCGAGGUCUCCAAUCGAGAUUCGGAGCUUCCUGAGACUGGCAGGUUACUAUCGGAGAUUCAUUCAGGAUUUCUCUAAGAUAGUCGUGCCCCUGACCAGGCUGACGAGGAAGGUCGUGGUCUUCCGUUGGGGACCUGAGCAGCAGGCUGCAUUUGAGACAUUGAGGCAGAGAUUGUGUGAAGCUCCGAUCUUAGCCCCGCCAGAGGGCAUGGAGGAUUUCGUUGUAUACUGCGAUGCGUCCAUCUCGAGUUUGGGCGCAAUAUUGAUGCAGAGAGGGCACGCCAUUGCUUACGCUUCGAGGCAGCUGAAGCCUCACGAGGCGAAUUACCCGACACAUGAUUUGGAGCUGGGGGCUGUUGUAUUCGCCCUCAAGAUUUGGCGGCAUUACCUCUAUGGGGUUCGGUGUACCAUCUUCAUGGACCACAAGAGUUUAAGGUACCUCAUGGACCAGCCGAAUCUAAACAUGAGGCAACGUCAGUGGUUGGACGUGGUGAAGGAUUACGAUUGCGAGAUCCUUUACCAUCCGGGUAAGGCCAAUGUGGUGGCUGACGCACUCAGCAGCAAGGCAGCGCCGAUCAGGGAUAUUUGUCUGAGGAUGACCGUGGUGACUCCGCUUUUGGAACGGAUUCGGGAGGCCCAGCAGGAGGCCAUGAAGGAGGAACAUGGGAAGAGUGAGCGGAUAGUGGGGUAGGUUUCCUCUUUCGACUAUGACAGCCGAGGACUACUUACACUACACUGUAGGGUGUGGGUGCCGUACCACGGGGGUGUGCGCCAUGUUCUGAUAGAGGAGGCGCACAAAUAUCGAUUCUCCAUUCAUCCCGGGGCGACGAAGAUGUAUAGGGAUCUUCGUCUGGACUAUUGGUAACCCUGUAUAAAGCGGGAUGUGGCAUGGUACGUAGAGCGGUGCUUGACCUGCAUGAAGGUCAAGGCCGAGCAACAGAGACCUCACGGCAAGAUGCAGCCGUUGGAUAUACCGCUGUGGAAAUGAGAAGACAUUACGAUGGAUUUUAUAACAAAACUUCCCAGGACCGCACGGGGAGUGGAUUCGAUUUAGGUCAUCGUCGAUCGGUUGACCAAGAGUGCCCACUUUAUUCCGAUUCAGGAGAGUAUUUCGGUCUAAAAGCUGGCCGACAUCUAUAUCAGGGAGGUGGUGGCGCGGCAUGGGGUGCCAGUGUCGGUGAUUUCGGACAAGGAUUUUCGGUUCACUUCUAGGUUUUGGAAGAAAUUCCACGACGAGUUGGGCACUCGUCUACAUUUCAGCACCGCCUUUCACCCACAGACGGAUGGCCAGAGCGAGCGGACCAUCCAAACUCUGGAUGAUAUGCUGUGGGCGUGUGUGUUAGAUUUUGGAGGUAGUUAGGAUACUUACCUUUUGUUGGCGGAGUUCUCCUACAACAAAAACUACCACGCGAGUAUCGAUCGUCCUCCCUUUGAGAUGUUAUACGAGAGGAAGUGCAAGCCCCCAAUAUGCUGGGGCGAGGUUGGCCAGAGGGUCCUGGGGAGCACCGAUGUAGUGCUCAGAACGACAGAAAGGAGUCAGAAGGUCAGGAGCAGACUUCAGACUGCUUAGAGUCGGCAGAAAAGCUAUGCCGAUAAGCGCCGAUCAGACCUGGAGUUCCAGGUCGGGGAUAUGGUUCUCCUAAAGGUGUCUCCAUGGAAGGGUGUUAUCCGAUUCAGGAAAUGGGGCAAAUUGGGCCCCUGGUACAUUGUACCAUUUAGGGUUAUAGCCCGGGUGGGUAAGGUGGCGUAUAGGUUGGAUCUGCCAGCCGACCUCGGUCAGAUACACAACACUUUCCAUGUUUCUCAGCUGCGAAAGUGUCUGGUGGAUGACUCAGCAGUAGUUCCCUUGGAGGACAUUCAGGUUGACGACAACCUAUAUUACAUCGAGUGGCUUGGGGAAAUCCUCGACCGAAAGUCGAAGGAUUUGAGGAACAAGAGGGUGGAGCUCGUAAAGGUGCAAUGGCAGCACAGGAAGGGCUCGGAAUGGACUUGGGAGCCGGUGGACGAGAUGAUGGAGCAUUACCCAACGCUGUUUCAGGAGCGAGCAGCAGACUUCGAGGACGAAUUCUAAAAUAAGUAGGGGAGAUUUGUAGCACCUGGGUCUUGGUACGUAUUUCUUUUUAAGUAUUUUGCAUUUUUGGCCUUGGACUCGACGAGUUGAAGGACCAACUCGCCGACUAGAAGCAGGACGGGACGCAGGAUUUAAGUGAUGGACUCGACGAGUAGACCAUGUCUGGACAAAAACCCUAAUCUGAGGGUUUGCACCCUAUUUAAACAAUGUUAUGUCAGCCACAACGUCCCUUAUGCUCCCAGAACACCUCUCAUUGAAACCCUAGCCGUUAUUGAAGCAAUCUAAGCCUUGUUGGUGGAUUUUGGUGCUUGUGGUCUUAAGAAGGAAGGAGAAAAGCUUGAGGAAGCAAGUAAAGACCAAGGGAACCCGAGUUUGUGCACCUUCUACAGUUCGUCAAAGGUAAAAAGCUGUAACCUUGCUCUUUCAUUUUUUAGAUCCAUUUUUGGGGAGAUUUAGGGCUUUUAUAAGCCAUUUUUGAUGGCCAACCAUGAUUGCAAACAUGGUUGGGGGUUAGAGCUUCUGAAUCACGUCAUUAAGGGAGUCACAAGGCAGCUGUGGACUACUUUUGCUCCCAUGAAAGGUCAUAUGCAUCAUAAGAGCUUGUUUUAUGUCUUUUUGAGCUCAAAGUCCCCUGCAAGCAUGUAAAGUUUGUAACUUUACAUGCUAGAUUGAUUUUAGAAUCUUGGAUCUAUCUUUUGAUCAAAGGUUGUACAUCAGAAAUCGAGGAUUUAGAGUGUGGACGUGGCCGACUCGGUGAGUCCAUUUCUGGGACUCGAUGAGUCCAAGGUUUUGAGUCCCAUAUCUGUUGAAGGUCAAAUGAACUCAAUUAAGUGUUAGAAGGGUUGUAACCGGAUAUAAAGAGUGACCCAAUGCAUUGGACGUAAUUUUAGAACUGGAGCUCAUGGGACUCGAUGAGAACUAGAACAGACUCGGCGAGUCCAAGGCAAUCUUCUUAAUAUUGAAGAUGAUCUCGACGAGUUAUUCAUGCAAAUCAGCAAGUCGAGGACAGGACUUGUUCAUCAGAUGAAGGUGGACUCAACGANGUAUAAUUAGUGAAAACAUAGAUCCAAGGUAUUUAGGGUUGUAUUUUCACCAUAGGAUGUUGUAGUAUACCAAAACCCAACANUCAGCAAGUCGAGGACAGGACUUGUUCAUCAGAUGAAGGUGGACUCAACGAGUGUUCAUACAACUCGGCGAGUCGGAUGAGUUUCAUGCGAUGUUCAUACAAGAGAGGAACUCAUCGAGGCAAUGCCAAACUCAACGAGUCGAGACGUGGAUAAGGCGAGUAAAGGGUUAGGGACUCGACGAGUUGACGGCCCAAAUCGGCGAGUUGGGUCAACUUGAAGUUGACUUUGACUAGAGUUAGAUUUAGGGUUGCGUAUGUUGUGUGUUGACUUGAAGGUUGUCAUGUAGGAAUCGAGGAGUCGAAGGGAGUCGACUUGAGCGUCGAGAAUAUUUUAAACGUUGCACGACANUGAAGUUGACUUUGACUAGAGUUAGAUUUAGGGUUGCGUGUGUUGUGUGUUGACUUGAAGGUUGUCGUGUAGGAAUCGAGGAGUCGACUUGAGUGUCGAGGAUAAUUUAAACGUUGCACGACACUGAGGUGAGUUACCUUCUAGUAGGGGUGGGUCUAAGGCGACAAUGCUGGCCCACCAAAAAGUGGUAUUUAGAAGAUGAUUUUCUUUGUGAUAAUUAUCUUGGUCUGGUUAUGUGUUUUGGUCAUGAGAUUUAACUGUAUGACAUGUUAUAUGUAUAGUAGGCAUUAGCUUCCCUGACAGUGCUCCUUAGGAACUAGGGGUAGGUCAGUACCUGGAUAUGCCUGACUGUAUGCUUAUAUCUGUUGUUGUAUGCUAGUGGUAGGGGUGAAAUAGUCCCCAGUUACCGGUUGAAAGAUACCGAUGAUGGUUACCGGUUGAAAGAUACCGAUGAUGGUUACCGGUUGAAAGAUACCGAUGAAGGUUACCGGUUGAAAGAUACCGACGAUAUUGUAUGGUAUGUGGUAUGAUGGGGGAACUCACUAAGCUUUGUGCUUACAGUUUUGGUUUUGGUUUCAGGUACCUCUUCGUCGAAGGGGAAGGAGUCGGCGGUGUAGCAGCGCAUCACACACACAUGGUUUCCGCAUUGAAUUUCUGGGAUUGUACUAUGAUUUUCAUUACUUUUGAUGUCAUGGUUUGAGACACAACAUUAUGAGUUUGUAAGGUGUUGUUUUAUCGACAAUGUUUUGGUAAAAUGUUUAUUAAACAUAUUAAUUCAAAAAUGAAAUUUUCGGGCUUGAAUUUUGGGAUGUUACAAGUACUCUCCCAUCUUUUCAGAUUUGAGAAACUUUUAUCCUUCUGCCUAAUUUGAUUCUUUUCAUUCAUUCUGCCAUACAUCAAAAUUUUUCCAAUGUAUCAGAAUUACACUUAAGCUUGUAAGUGUAACCAUAUUUACUAAACUUUAGUAAAUCAUUACGAAUAGUCUUAUAGAUCUUUUGUGGUGGACUUUGGCCAAUGCACAAGAAUGUGUACUCGAUCCCUUAGUCCUUCACUUGACUCACAUAUACAUGUAAACAAGGAACUAGUCUUAAUUUACCAAAGACGAAAAAUUCUCAUUCAUCAUGCUAUACAACUUGCAUGAUUCCAAGUUUCGGUCCAAUUGAAACUUGGGCGAUGAGGAUCUU
rnacentral:lncRNA from 1 species